rnacentral:rRNA from 1 species
UCCUACGGGAGGCAGCAGUGAGGAAUAUUGGACAAUGGGUGAGAGCCUGAUCCAGCCAUCCCGCGUGAAGGAUGACGGUCCUACGGAUUGUAAACUUCUUUUGUAUAGGGAUAAACCUCUCUACGUGUAGAGAGCUGAAGGUACUAUACGAAUAAGCACCGGCUAACUCCGUGCCAGCAGCCGCGGUAAUACGGAGGGUGC